rnacentral:rRNA from 1 species
UACGAAGGGGGCUAGCGUUGUUCGGAAUUACUGGGCGUAAAGCGCACGUAGGCGGCUAUUUAAGUCAGGGGUGAAAUCCCGGGGCUCAACCCCGGAACUGCCUUUGAUACUGGGUAUCUCGAGUCCGGGAGAGGUGAGUGGAAUUCCGAGUGUAGAGGUGAAAUUCGUAGAUAUUCGGAGGAACACCAGUGGCGAAGGCGGCUCACUGGCUCGGUACUGACGCUGAGGUGCGAAAGCGUGGGGAGCAAACAGG